UCCUUCCCCGUUUGUAGAUAUCAGAUGCCAAAUCGACGAAGAAUAUGAAGGUUGAAGACGAAGAAUCGAGAGGGAGAUUUGGCUUGGGAGGCUGGAAAAUCUUGGCCAAGGUGGAUCAUAACUGCAGCCCCUGUAAAUGUAGGAACCUGUCAAGAUAAACUGAGAAUUACAGAGGUAGUAAUUUCAAUAAACAAAGUUUGAGGGGGGCGUGUACUUGAUGCAGAGACAGUGUUGAAGGAGACGAGGAGAGAGAGGAGCAAAAUCGUGAGAAAGUUUUGGGUUUGGCCUGCCAUUUCCAUUACACAGUUCAUGAUCUUCACCCAAUUGUGACUCACUUGUGAGUGCGUAGAUAUAUAUAUAUACAUACAUACUUCUUUGCAGGUAUUUGGGUUGGUGAAAGCACAUAGAAAUGUGGGUCGAGAAAAAAAGCAUUCCCAACUUUUAAGCCCUCCACCCCACGAGUAUUCUAGAGUUUCACGAUGGUUUCAUAUACCCGAGCAACUUGGUGGUGGGGACUGCAUAAAGAGAUAAAAAGAAGUUGACUUUGUAUAGAGAAUGGAAAAAAACUACCUGCCCACCGCAUAAAACACAGUUAUAAUUCUGGAAUGAUGACCAAAUUGUCGUUUCUAAAGAGAUUGAAGAUUGAAAAGGAAAUAAAUAUGGAAAGAGAAGAAGAUCAAAAGUAACGGGGAGCUGGAUCCACCAAGGAAGUGGAGAAUGAGGAAGAAGUCAAUUUGGGGUGACAAAUAGAAUGAACAAACAGACAGAAAACCAGACAUAAUGGUGAGAGAAAACGAGACAUUCAUAUUUUGAGUGGGAAGAAGAUGGAAAAUUCUGGGCAAUUAAUGAUGAACAAGUUUGAAAAUUAUUUUGAGUCAACCUUGUAAUGGAUUAUGAAGGGGAAUUUACUGGUUGUUGCACUUGCA